AAGCGGUGGAGCAUGUGGUUUAAUUCGAUGCAACGCGAAGAACCUUACCUGGUCUUGACAUCCACAGAAGUUUGCAGAGAUGCGAAUGUGCCUUCGGGAACUGUGAGACAGGUGCUGCAUGGCUGUCGUCAGCUCGUGUUGUGAAAUGUUGGGUUAAGUCCCGCAACGAGCGCAACCCUUAUCCUUUGUUGCCAGCGGUCCGGCCGGGAACUCAAAGGAGACUGCCAGUGAUAAACUGGAGGAAGGUGGGGAUGACGUCAAGUCAUCAUGGCCCUUACGACCAGGGCUACACACGUGCUACAAUGGCGCAUACAAAGAGAAGCGACCUCGCGAGAGCAAGCGGACCUCAUAAAGUGCGUCGUAGUCCGGACUGGAGUCUGCAACUCGACUCCAUGAAGUCGGAAUCGCUAGUAAUCGUGGAUCAGAAUGCCACGGUGAAUACGUUCCCGGGCCUUGUACACACCGCCCGUCACACCAUGGGAGUGGGUUGCAAAAGAAGUAGGUAGCUUAACCUUCGGGAGGGCGCUUACCACUUUGUGAUUCAUGACUGGGGUGAAGUCGUAACAAGGUAACCGUAGGGGAACCUGCGGUUGGA
rnacentral:rRNA from 1 species